rnacentral:rRNA from 1 species
UACGUAGGGUGCAAGCGUUGUCCGGAAUUAUUGGGCGUAAAGAGCUCGUAGGCGGCUUGUCGCGUCGACUGUGAAAACCUGGGGCUUAACUCCGGGCCUGCAGUCGAUACGGGCAAGCUAGAGUUCGGUAGGGGAGACUGGAAUUCCUGGUGUAGCGGUGAAAUGCGCAGAUAUCAGGAGGAACACCAAUGGCGAAGGCAGCUCGCUGGGACGGUACUGACGCUGAGACGCGAAAGCGUGGGGAGCAAACAGG